UACGGGGGGAGCAAGCGUUGUUCGGAUUUACUGGGCGUAAAGGGCGCGUAGGCGGUCAGCACAAGUCAGUUGUGAAAUCUCCGGGCUUAACCCGGAAAGGUCAACUGAUACUGCGCGACUAGAGUGCGGAAGGGGCAACUGGAAUUCUCGGUGUAGCGGUGAAAUGCGUAGAUAUCGAGAGGAACACCUGCGGCGAAGGCGGGUUGCUGGGCCGACACUGACGCUGAUGCGCGAAAGCCAGGGGAGCGAACGGG
rnacentral:rRNA from 1 species